CCCUUAGAUGCUCUGGGCCGCACGCGCGCUACACUGGUCGAUGCAACGAGUUUCUUUCCUUGGCCGACAGGCCUGGGCAAUCUUUGAACAUCGAUCGUGAUCGGGAUAGAUUCUUGUAAUUUUUGAUCUUAAACGAGGAAUUCCUAGUAAACGCAAGUCAUCAGCUUGCAUUGAUUACGUCCCUGCCCUUUGUACACACCGCCCGUCGCACCUACCGAUUGAAUGGUCCGGUGAAAUCUCCGGACUGCACAGGCCCCGUGUCUGGCGCGAGAAGUUGGCUAAACCUUACCAUUUAGAGGAAGGUGAAGUCGUAACA
rnacentral:rRNA from 1 species